GAUGAACGCUGGCGGCGUGCCUAAUACAUGCAAGUCGAGCGAAUGGAUUAAGAGCUUGCUCUUAUGAAGUUAGCGGCGGACGGGUGAGUAACACGUGGGUAACCUGCCCAUAAGACUGGGAUAACUCCGGGAAACCGGGGCUAAUACCGGAUAACAUUUUGAACCGCAUGGUUCGAAAUUGAAAGGCGGCUUCGGCUGUCACUUAUGGAUGGACCCGCGUCGCAUUAGCUAGUUGGUGAGGUAACGGCUCACCAAGGCAACGAUGCGUAGCCAGCCUGAGGGGGUGAUCGGCCACACUGGGACUGAGACACGGCUCAGACUCCUACGGGAGGCAGCAGUAGGGAAUCUUCCGCAAUGGACGAAAGUCUGACGGAGCAACGCCGCGUGAGUGAUGAAGGCUUUCGGGUCGUAAAACUCUGUUGUUAGGGAAGAACAAGUGCUAGUUGAAUAAGCUGGCACCUUGACGGUACCUAACCAGAAAGCCACGGCUAACUACGUGCCAGCCGCCGCGGUAA
rnacentral:rRNA from 1 species